rnacentral:rRNA from 1 species
ACGCGAAAGCCCCCUUCGGGGGGCAAGUAGAGUGGCGCACGGGUGAGUAACACGUAGGUAAUCUACCUUUGGAUUGGGAAUAACCACCGGAAACGGUGGCUAAUACCGAAUAAUGCAGCGGCACCUAAUGGUGACAGUUGUUAAAGCGGGGGAUCGCAAGACCUCGCGUCUGAAGAGGAGCCUGCGGCGGAUUAGCUUGUUGGUAAGGUAACGGCUUACCAAGGCGAUGAUCCGUAGCCGGCCUGAGAGGGCGGUCGGCCACACUGACACUGACAUACGGGUCAGACUCCUACGGGAGGCAGCAGUCGGGAAUUUUGGGCAAUGGGCGAAAGCCUGACCCAGCAACGCCGCGUGAAGGAUGAAAUCCCUCGGGAUGGAAACUUCGCAAGAACGGGAAGAAUAAGUAGGGGACAAUACCCUCUACGAUGACGGUACUGUUUGUAAGCUCCGGCUAACUCCGUGCCAGCAGCCGCGGUAAUACGGGGGGAGCAAGCGUUG